UACGGAGGGGGGCGAGCGUUAUUCGGAAUUAUUGGGCGUAAAGGGCGCGUAGGCGGCUUGACAAGUCAAAGGUGAAAUCCCUCGGCUCAACUGAGGAACUGCCUUUGAAACUGUCAGGCUUGAGGCCGGGAGGGGGUAGCGGAAUUCCCAGUGUAGCGGUGAAAUGCGUAGAUAUUGGGAGGAACACCAGUGGCGAAGGCGGCUACCUGGACCGGUACUGACGCUGAUGCGCGAAAGCGUGGGUAGCAAACAGG
rnacentral:rRNA from 1 species